AUGGUGUGUUUUCAAGUUGAGAACAAACCUGCUACAGUUAAUAAUGGAGGCCUGUGCUGCCAUGCCGUGUCUAACACUGAUGUUUCUGUGCUUUUACAGACCAAGAUGGCCUGGACUACAAUAAAGAAUCUACGCUGUUUUAAUUUUGGAGGGAGGGAGAUCUGUUAUUUUGGCCCACAAUAUGUUUAUUAUGUUUCUGGACCAAUCAGACGGCCCCAAAUGUGUUCCUAUUCGGUGAAGGAGGUACUCAGAUGCAGACUCAUUGCAGAGAAGAAACUAACGUCCGUGGGCAUAUGGUGUAGUGUUUGACCUGAACAAGGAGUGUGGGUAGCCAGGCAAGAAAUACACUGGACCCUUGCAGUUUUCAGAAACAGUAGCACAUUAUUGACCUUACCAGGACACCAUAAUAGGAGUUUAUCCAAAAAUAGCAGAGUUGUGAUUAAAUUCCCUUCACAUUAACAAAUUUUUACAGCCUGAUUUUUAAAUUAGCAACAACAAAAAAAUCCUGUUUUUGCUUUGUCAUUAUGGGGUAUUGUGUGUAGGUAGGUUGAUGAGAAAAAAAUAACAAAAUAAUCCAUUUUAGAAUAAGGCUGUAACCUACCAAAUUGUGGAACAAGUCUAGGGGUCUGAAUACAUUCUGAAGGCACAAUAUACAUAUUGAUAUCAAAAUCAAUAGUGAUGGUUGAGAAAUUAGUCCCAUAAAAUUCCAGCGCAGUGAAUAUUUCAUGUCAAACCUUGCUUGUUGAAGAUACAGUCACACCUCACGGUCUGAAAUGUUGCAUAAGAACCACAACAAUAUGAAUACAUCUCAUUUGAGUUUAAUUCCUUCUCAAAGCUUCCCUUCCUGUUCCAGCAAAUCUAUAGCAGAAUUAUUACCUGUAGCACGGUAGAGGCAGAUCUUUAACUGCUUCUGGUGAUCAUUCAUUCUUUACCAUUAGAAAAAUAAGA
rnacentral:lncRNA from 13 species